GUGCUCGCUUCGGCAACAUAUAUACUAAAAUUGGAAUGAUACAGAGAAGAUUAGCAUGGCCCCUGCACAAGGAUGACACUCAAAUUCGUGAAGCAUUCCAUAUUUUU
ensembl:snRNA U6 U6 spliceosomal RNA